UCGGGAAUUUUGUGCAAUGGGCGAAAGCCUGACACAGCAACGCCGCGUGAAGGAUGAAGUCCCUCGGGAUGUAAACUUCGUAAGAAUAGGAAGAAUAAAUGACGGUACUAUUUGUAAGGUCCGGCUAACUACGUGCCAGCAGCCGCGGUAAUACGUAGGGACCAAGCGUUGUUCGGAUUUACUGGGCGUAAAGGGUGCGUAGGCGGCAUAUCAAGUCACUUGUGAAAUCUCCGGGCUUAACUCGGAACUGCCAAGUGAUACUGAUGUGCUAGAGUGCAGAAAGGGCAACUGGAAUUCUUGGUGUAGCGGUGAAAUGCGUAGAUAUCAAGAGGAACACCUGAGGUGAAGACGGGUUGCUGGGCUGACACUGACGCUGAGGCGCGAAAGCCAGGGGAGCAAACGGGAUUAGAUACCCAUGUAGUCCCUGAGCGGGCUGGCAAGGCGCAU
rnacentral:rRNA from 1 species